UGGGGAAUUUUGGACAAUGGGGGAAACCCUGAUCCAGCCAUCCCGCGUGUGCGAUGAAGGCCUUCGGGUUGUAAAACACUUUUGGCAGGAAAGAAACGUCAUGGGUUAAUACCCCGUGAAACUGACGGUACCUGCAGAAUAAGCACCGGCUAACUACGUGCCAGCAGCCGCGGUAAUACGUAGGGUGCAAGCGUUAAUCGGAAUUACUGGGCGUAAAGCGUGCGCAGGCGGUUCGGAAAGAAAGAUGUGAAAUCCCAGAGCUCAACUUUGGAACUGCAUUUUUAACUACCGGGCUAGAGUGUGUCAGAGGGAGGUGGAAUUCCGCGUGUAGCAGUGAAAUGCGUAGAUAUGCGGAGGAACACCGAUGGCGAAGGCAGCCUCCUGGGAUAACACUGACGCUCAUGCACGAAAGCGUGGGGAGCAAACAGG
rnacentral:rRNA from 1 species